GACCCUGGCAGACCUCAGCAGUUGAUAUACUUGCUUUUUCCUGGCUAUGGGAACAUAGAUAGAUUCUUCUGUGACCCCUCCACUCUCCACCAGGCAUGGAAUGGCCAUGGGAUGGGACUUCAGCAACUCCACAUUCAUAGGAAAUUGCUGCUCAGCGAAUGAUUCAAGGAUGCAAGAGGUGAGGGGACAAUUCCCUGACGUUUGAGAAGCAUCAGGCUUUCAUACGUGUGCACUUCCCUGAUAUUUUACCGUCGUUUUACCAGUGCUUACUCCACGGUUUUACAGAUCCUGAAGAACAGAUGACAGAAGACAGAGUCAUAAAAUAACUUUUCCAAACUUUGGACAUAACAGAACAUUCUUGAAAACCCACACACCCAUCUUCGGAAGUGCUGUCUUGCAUUCUGCAUGUUACUUGAAAGACAGGGAAGCCGAUCUGUGGUAUGCAGGUCACACAAGAGCUUCUGAGGCCAUCUGUACAGCCCAUCCCCAUGCCACAAACAUUUCAGUGAAGAAAACUGAGAAAUGUGUGACUAAGCAGCCCCAGAGUGUGGUCAAGAUGGCAAAAUUGAUCCAUGGGGAGAGAUAGUGUUGAGCAAUGCGUGCUCCAGUUCGCUCAAAAAGUCAACACUGAAAAGAUGAUAAUAAAAGAAUCCAUACAGCUACUAUCUUUAAAUCAUUGGCAACAGUCAAAUAUUGGCUGCUGGAUCCUAUGCGUACUUGGAACAGCUGCAAGUGAGAAGUGAUCCCUUUCAAGUAACAGAUAAAAAUAGAAUGCUUUACAAGCUCACGGGAUGCAAUCUGCAGCCAUGAAAACCAAUGGAUGUUUUACUGUUGAUCUCAAUUAAAUACAGAUGAUACCCUCAUGUCUGCCAGCUUUCCCACUUUGAUUGGAAGACAAUCCAUUUUCAUGACAAUAUUUCAUCCUCACGCCAUGCCUUUUCAGCAUCUGUAUUCACCACCUGUCUUUUCAUUUGGAGGUUUAGUUAGCUUUCUAACCACUGCUUUUUAACAUGUUGUGUAUGGAGUGCUGCCAUUCUUUUUUGGAUGUGGUGGCCAUCUCUAGGAUAAGGUAUAUCUGAAGAAGAGGGCUAAAAUCCAUGAAAGCACAUUCUGAAAUAAACUGGUUAGAUUUAA